rnacentral:rRNA from 1 species
CCUACGGGAGACAGCAGUGGGGAAUAUUGCACAAUGGGGGAAACCCUGAUGCAGCAACGCCGCGUGAGGGAGGAAGUAUUUCGGUAUGUAAAGCUCUAUCAGCAGGGAAGAGAAAAGAAGGUACCUGAAAAAGAAGCCCCGGCUAACUACGUGCCAGCAGCCGCGGUAAGACGUAGGGGGCAAGCGUUAUCCGGAUUUACUGGGUGUAAAGGGAGCGUCGAGGGAAAGGAAAGUCAGAAGUGAAAGCCCAAGGCUCAACCCUGGGACUGCUUUUGAAACUGUCAAACUAGAGUACGGGAGAGGUAAGCGGAAUUCCUAUUGUAGCGGUGAACUGCGUAGAUAUUAGGAGGAACACCAGUGGCGAAGGCGUCUUACUGGACCGAAACUGACGUUGAGGCUCGAAAGCGUGGGGAGCAAACAGGAUUAGAUACCCGUGUAGUC